UUACAAUAGCAAGUCAUUUUGAGAGAGGUGCUGGUUAUUUGCAGGUACCUCAAAGAGGAAUGUUUUGAUCUUUUAAUUUAAUAAUUUUACCUCCACUAUAUUAUCAAAUCUCUCCUCUCUAUUUUUUUUUUCUCUUUCUAUUUUUUCUUUUCAUCCACAGUAGAGAUGUAAAGGGCUCGAAUUCGAGGCGGAUUUUCAAAAAUGCAAACCCGAAUCCGACGAUCAAACUUGAAACCCGAAUACAAACCCAAAUUCGACGAAUUUUAGAAAACCAUAUCUACAUCCGUACCCGACUUAAAAUCCGAAACCCUAGCCCGAAUUCGAAAAUCCGGACCCGAAACAUUAUUUGUCUUUACAAUAUUUCAAAAUAUAUUAAAUUAAAUCUAAAAUUUUAAAAUACAUAUUCAAAUAUAACAUCAAAUAUUUAUAUAUAUUAGAUAUAAUGUAAAUAAAUUCAAGUUCCGGUCGAUUUUGGGUUCGGAUCGGAUGCGAUCAAAAUCCAUAACCAAAUUCAAAUCUGCCGGAUUUUUAUUUUUUAUAUCCAUAUCCGAAACUAUAUUCAUUUAGCUAGCAUAGGUAAAUCCACUGUACUCGCUUUCGGAUUUGGAUUCGAGUUCGGAUAAAAU
rnacentral:lncRNA from 1 species